rfam:Bacillus alcalophilus ATCC 27647 = CGMCC 1.3604 strain AV1934 contig00011, whole genome shotgun sequence.
GCGAUGAGCUAAUUUGCAUAAGACGAGAUUGACAUGCCUUAAUGGCAGGCACAAAUGUGGAGUGCCGUCUCUCGCCGCAAAACGCCAAAAAAGACGUCCGAAUGGACGUCUU